rnacentral:rRNA from 1 species
CCUACGGGAUGCAGCAGUGAGGAAUAUUGGUCAAUGGGCGGGAGCCUGAACCAGCCAAGCCGCGUGAGGGAAGAAGGUACAGCGUAUCGUAAACCUCUUUUGUCAGGGAACAAAGGCGGGGACUAGUCCCCGGAUGAGGGUACCUGAAGAAAAAGCAUCGGCUAACUCCGUGCCAGCAGCCGCGGUAAUACGGAGGAUGCGAGGGUUAUCCGGAUUUCUUGGGUUUAAGGGGUGCGCAGGGGGCCUGUUAAGUCAGCGGUAAAAGCCCGGGGCUCAACCCCGGCGAGCCGUUGAAACUGGCGGGCUGGAGUUGGAGAGAAGUAGGCGGAAUGCGAGGUGUAGCGGUGAAAUGCUUAGAUAUCGCGCAGAACCCCGAUGGCGAAGGCAGCGUACCGGCUCCACACUGACGCUGAGGCACGAAAGCGUGGGUAGCGAACAGGAUUAGAUACCCUAGUAGUC